GUCACCGUUCAGUACAUUAAGAGUUUUCUUUAUUAAUUCAAGCCACAGGACACAUUAAUCACCAUUGAAAGAUAUGGAUAAUAAAAAAUUCGGUGUGAAUCGGACGGCGGAAUUAAAAAAAAACCUUUACCAUGAGCGGGCGGUGUAGAAGAUUAGUCUUUGUUUGGUUUUGUGUAUUUUAUAUUUCAACACGCUUUUUACUUGUU
rnacentral:misc_RNA from 1 species